rnacentral:rRNA from 1 species
AGCGAACACUGGCGGCAGGGCUAACACAUGCAAGUCGAACGAAGUCUUCGGACUUAGUGGCGGACGGGUGAGUAACACGUGGGAACGUGCCUUUAGGUUCGGAAUAACUCAGGGAAACUUGUGCUAAUACCGAAUGUGCCCUUCGGGGGAAAGAUUUAUCGCCUUUAGAGCGGCCCGGGGCUGAUUAGCUAUUUGGUGAGGUAAAGGCUCACCAAGGCUACGAUCAGUAGCUGGUCUGAGAGGAUGACCAGCCACAUUGGGACUGAGACAAGGCCCAUACUCCUACGGGAGGCAGCAGUGGGGAGUCUUGCGCAAUGGGCGAAAGCCGUUCGCAGCCAUGCCGCGUGGAUGAUGAAGGUCUUAGGAUUGUAAAAUCCUUUCACCGGUGAAGAUAAUGACUGUAGCCGGAGAAGAAGCCCCGGCUAACUUCGUGCCAGCCGCCGCAGUAAGAC